rnacentral:lncRNA from 1 species
CCAAUCCAAUUCCUCCUAGGGACCAAUAAAACUCAAAACAAUACUAUCCCAAAGACCUAUGAAAAAAAAUAUCACACCAUUCCAUAGUGCUACAAUCGCAAGGCCUUAAAUCCUUCUCCACUGCCACUAAUAAAAGUAAAACAGAAUCAUUGGAACCAUAUUUGACCUACUCAACAUAAUUGCUCAAGUGUAUCCACCACUUUUCAUAUUCUAAUGCAUGUGUACUCGUGCCUUUAGAUUAAGAAUUAAACUUAAAUGAUCC